GGUGGUGUGGCUGAGAGGUCUAAGGUGUUGGAUUAAGGCUCCAGUGGGUUUAAGGCUCCUUGCCCCUUUGGGGCAUGGGUUUGAAUCCCAUCGCUGCCA
rnacentral:tRNA from 1 species